UCCGUAGGUGAACCUGCGGAAGGAUCAUUAUCGUAGGGCUUCGGCCCUGUCGAGAUAGAACCCUUGCCUUUUUAAGUACCUUUCGUUUCCUCGGCAGGCUCGCCUGCCGAUGGACCCCCCAAAAAACACUUUGCAGUACCUGUAAUAGUCUGAACAACAAACAAAAAAUUAAAACUUUCAACAACGGAUCUCUUGGUUCUGGCAUCGAUGAAGAACGCAGCGAAAUGCGAUAAGUAGUGUGAAUUGCAGAAUUCAGUGAAUCAUCGAAUCUUUGAACGCACAUUGCGCCCUUUGGUAUUCCUUAGGGCAUGCCUGUUCGAGCGUCAUUUAAACCUUCAAGCUCAGCUUGGUGUUGGGUGACUGUCCGCUGCCCUCGGGUGCGGACUCGCCUCAAAAUCAUUGGCGGCCGGUACAUUGGCUUCGAGCGCAGCAGAAACGCGAACUCGAGGACGUUGUAUUGGCUCCCAGAAGCUAUCUUCAUAAUUUUGACCUCGGAUCAGGUAGGGAUACCCGCUGAACUUAAGCAUAUCAAUAAGCGGAGGA
rnacentral:rRNA from 1 species